UACGAAGGGGGCUAGCGUUGUUCGGAAUCACUGGGCGUAAAGCGCACGUAGGCGGAUCUUUAAGUCAGGGGUGAAAUCCCGAGGCUCAACCUCGGAACUGCCUUUGAUACUGGGGAUCUCGAGUCCGGGAGAGGUGAGUGGAACUGGCGAGUGUAGAGGUGAAAUUCGUAGAUAUUCGCAAAGAACACCAGUGGCGAAGGCGGGACUCUGGGCCGAGUACUGACGCUGAGGAGCGAAAGCGGUGGGGAGCAACAGGG
rnacentral:rRNA from 1 species